ACCAGCAAUACUUUCUCCAUUAAAAAGUGAAAGGCUGUUGGCAAAGUGAUUUCAUAAUAUGUAUUGCACUGCAGCCAGUUUAAUUGUCUCUACGUGUCCCUUUCAGCUGGCCUGUAAUGUAACCAGUAUUAAACCAUUUAAACAUCCACAGGGAUUGUAUGUUUUGGAAAUAGUUUUCUAUCAAGGUGUGUCUAUAAACUAUUC